rnacentral:rRNA from 1 species
GAUGCGAAUCUCGAAAGCCUGUCUCAGUUCGGAUUGGAGGCUGAAACCCGCCUCCAUGAAGUUGGAUUCGCUAGUAAUCGCGCAUCAGCCAUGGCGCGGUGAAUACGUUCCCGGGCCCUUGUACACACCGCCCGUCAAGCCAUGGGAGCCGGGGGUGCCUGAAGUUCGUGACCGCAAGGAGCGACCUAGGGCAAAACUGGUGACUGGGGCUAAGUCGUAACAAGGUAAC